CCGAGUUUACAACUCCCAAACCCCCUGUGAACAUACCUAUACGUUGCCUCGGCGGAUCAGCCCGCGCCCCGUAAAACGGGACGGCCCGCCCGAGGACCCCUAAACUCUGUUUUUAGUGGAACUUCUGAGUAAACCAAACAAAUAAAUCA
rnacentral:misc_RNA from 1 species